rnacentral:rRNA from 1 species
GAUGAACGCUGGCGGCGUGCUUAACACAUGCAAGUCGAACGAGACCUUCGGGUCUAGUGGCGCACGGGUGCGUAACGCGUGGGAAUCUGCCCUUGGGUUCGGAAUAACAGUUAGAAAUGACUGCUAAUACCGGAUGAUGACUUCGGUCCAAAGAUUUAUCGCCCAGGGAUGAGCCCGCGUAGGAUUAGCUUGUUGGUGAGGUAAAAGCUCACCAAGGCGACGAUCCUUAGCUGGUCUGAGAGGAUGAUCAGCCACACUGGGACUGAGACACGGCCCAGACUCCUACGGGAGGCAGCAGUGGGGAAUAUUGGACAAUGGGCGAAAGCCUGAUCCAGCAAUGCCGCGUGAGUGAUGAAGGCCUUAGGGUUGUAAAGCUCUUUUACCCGGGAUGAUAAUGACAGUACCGGGAGAAUAAGCCCCGGCUAACUCCGUGCCAGCCGCCGCUGUAACAC